UACGCAAAUAUCUCUUCAGAUAAUGAUUCUGACAGUAAGCUUUAUAAAGACUUGAAUAUGUUUUAUUACAGUGAAGCAAGCAUAUAAAACCAUUGUAAUCCACGGUCCAUGAUCUCUGGGCCAGCUUAUCCCCUCACAGCCCGGCUACAGUCGCAGGCCGCAGCUUUUACAUACCGGCCCAGGUUAGCGUUUGUCACUCCCCACUUCGCUGAACCAGAGGAAGCAGAUGCAGAACCGUCUGCUUCAGCAUUCUCCUCCUCCAUGCUUGCGCGCGGCGGCGUAGCUAGUCCAGGGCCAGAGGAAAGCUCCGCAGCAAGCGCGUAGCAGCAGGGAGGGAGAGCGCGCCGCGCCUGUCCGCUGCUUGAGCGGGUGCCACGAGGGGAAGAGGUAUGGUGCUCCUUGCUUCUUAGGCCCCAACUCAAAUUUGUUGGUUGUACUGCACGAACUUGCUGUUGCAGGAACAGCCAUCAAUCCCGGUAUCCCUGCAUCUGAAAUUCUGAUUCCAGUUGCUGCAAUUGAUCGAAAUACAAUGGAAGUUCUGGGAGCAGCCUGCUGCUGGUGCGGGUCUGUUGACGGUUAAGCUUGUCCAUAUAUAACUUGUUUUGUGCACUUUGUGAGUUUGUGACUGGGUUCAGAUUUCCAGUACACUUAUUUGUCGAAGCAAGGCUAGUUUUAGGAAAGGUUAGCGCCUUAUCAGCUAGCAUAGUGCUGCUAACUCCAUGGUGUUGAUAAAGCUCAAGAGUCAAGACCUAGUAGGAACAAGAAAACUGAAGAUGAAAUGUGAUGCCGGUCAAAGAGCAUGUAAACUGGAAAUGACUAAUACGUUGAAUCUGCUCUAGAUGGCUAUGUAUGAGCCAACGCUAGUACAUCACAUUCAGAGUAAAAUAAGAACAUCGUGUAUAAUCCGUCCCAUCCAUACAAUGAUACAUCACAUCAUACAUGCAUAAUGGUAUGUGUGCAUUACCUUGCAGCCUAACGUAAACCAUGUAUGUUAAACCCUGCAACAGCCUCACGUGAGAGAAAAAGAACAAGGCGUAGCCAAGGACAACUUGCCGGAGAACAGGCAGGCUUGUAACAGGGUGCAUAUGCUGCCUUGUAACAUAUGCAUGCACAUAUCCGGCAAGUCAUCCUUGGCUGCAUUCUGCUCUCUUUCUCAUUUCACGUAGGGCCAUUGACAGUCACAACAAGCACUAAACUAAACAUCUCUAGGGUGUGCACCACAAGAAAGCCAAUGUAUGUAUGGCUUGCUGAGGCUUAGUGAUCUAUAUGAGCCUGCUACUUGAUACAUGUGAGGCUCAGUGAUCUAUAUGAAACGAUGCUUGUGUUCUGUAUGACUUGCUGAGAGGCUUCUAUCUUGCUAUAUAUAGACUUCCAAAAGUAUUUGAUGGAGAUCUGAUUUCCUCUUUUGUCAUGAACUUUGUCAAAAUAGAUGCCUUUUUAUAUUUUAUUGAGAUGUUAGGUCUGAUAUGGCUAGAUAUUUUGACAAUUUACACAGAUCAGUGAAGUUUACUUGUUAAUGCACAACAGCACUAGAUACCUAUAUCAUCAUGCUAUAGGUAUGCACAACAGCACUAGUUAAUUUCACUUCAAUUUUCUCCAGGUGGUUAUUUCUGUAGGUUUUGAAGUUAUUUCUUGUAAUCAUAUCUGAAGGUACAGGAAAGGUUAAGAGGAAUUUAGGACUAAUUGAGUUGAGUUUUUAUUAUGCCUAAAGUUAAUAGUGAUUUGUAAUUACAUGAAACGCAAAAGCAUUUGCAAUAAUGUAAAAAAAUAAUUUUAAAUAGUUUAUAAAUACUACUAGUAGGGAGUAGGAAGCCAGUACAAGCAAAUAAUAGUAAAUUUUAACAAUAUAUCAGAAACGUCUACCUGUCUACCUCUUAUCACAUUUUCAAACCGAAAGAAUAGGCAGCACUAUAGUAAGAUUUUCUUGACCGAAAGCUGUAUACUAAGAUUUGAUGCUCCCCUCCUUCCAAUGCGUGUCGUGUCCUGAUUUGUCAAUAGUUUGUGGUAGUUAUCCCUAUUUUUUCUGUCACUGAUUUAUGAUUCAUGAUUGGGUAUUUAUGUCACCAAGCGAUUGGUUGAGUGGCUAUGAGAGUUUAUAUCCUUUUCCCUUUCCAAAUUUUGAAUUAAAAUCUGUCUCCUGGAGAGAACAUUCCUUCAUCCCUGGAUCCACCAUCCAUGAUGUGGUGGGGGAAAUCAUUACAGGUAUGACUUUAGAGGAUAUAAUAUGAUAUGCAAGAUGCCUUUGACCUAAUUCAGACAAGAGAAGGCAUAGCAUUGCCAUGAAUCAUUACAGGUUGUCAAAUAAUGGAAGGUAUGGUACUUGCAAGAUGCCCCAUUAGAUUGUAAUUGGACCACAUGACCAGAACAAAUUCUGUGUCCUAGAAUGGCAAUUUGACACGUCUGAGCAAUGCCAUACCUUUUUUCUUUCAAGGAGAGGGACAGGGAGGGAGAAAGAGAAUAAUAUUAUCAUGUCCUUUUGCUGGGGAAAAAGGUGCUGUGGCUGGUGGCCCUUGGUUUCUGAAGAGGCAAUUAACUUUCCUUUUGAGAAUUUUAUUCGGUCAACCCUUUUUGUAUGGUUCCUGUCAUUCUCAUUUUUCUAUUACCCUCAUGAGUUUUUAGGUCUUAGGAAGUGUUCUGAAUUACAUUCUUGAAGUACACUAAAUACAGGGAAAUGAUGAUCUGUCUACAAAUGUUCCUGUUCUAUGAAACAUCAUAACAUACGAAAUCCUCAUUUUUCAGUUUUCCAGAUGCCUGGAACUUUUAUGAGAUGUAUGUAGAAGUGACAAUGCCUGAAGGUUUAGAAUCACAGAAGAAUCUCACUAGUUAUGCAUUUUACCAUCAUGAUGUACAUGUACAGUUGUAGUCCCAGCAAAAAGUAGUGAAUACAUGCUUCAAUCUA